GUGUUUCUUUAAAGUCAUAUUAAUCAACUAUUUUUAAUUAAUUUAUAGGUAUACUACGUUGACUUUGAGCAUCCAAACGUUACAUACUGGAAUCCUAAAUAUUUUGAGUACAUGACCGCGACAGCCCAGAGAUACAGCCGCCGAGACCCCAUCCACUACUUAAACUUUCGGUUAAAAACCUUAACUGUCUUUGGGAACGACAUUGUAGUAACUCUUGAUUUUUACGAGUUCUUGAGCAACGAGUAUCGCCCCAGCAUGUUAGUGAUGCGCUUCGGGCUUUGCGAGUAUUUUUCAGACCAUAAAUAUGACGUCUUUAAGCCUUUCUACAUGAAAUAUUUUAACGCCUCCUCUUGUCCUUUUCCAAAGGGAGAGUAUAAUUUCUGGAACUGCUCUAUUCCGAAUAUGCCGCUCCUCUCGACGUUCCCUAUUAAGAAUUCUCGCAUGUUCUUGAGUUACGUACGUGACGGCGAGCGAG